GACCAUAUCACGUUGAAACAUCAGUUCUCGUACGAUCACCGAAGUUCGACGUUAAGCAACGUCGAGCCUGGUCAGUACCUAGAUGGGUGACCGCUUGGGAAUACCAGGUGCUGUAAG